CCCCGUAGUCGGUGAUGAUGAAGUGCAAAGGUGCGUAUGGUGCUGUUGCAGCAAGUGCAGAGGAUGCCACCACCAUUUAGAUUCGCAGGUGAAGUCUACUGCCAUAUGCAUCGUCACUCUCCACCACCAUCAUUCAGAUAUCUACUGAUGCUGUCAAGUGCUGUUAUUGAUGGGUUGUACAGUCACCAAAAGCGGGCCAAUUUCGUCCCUACUGUUCCCCCACUAUCAUCGUGUUUAUGCCCCAAUCAAUCAAUGUUGUUUGGUUUUACCGUCGCUCCCCCGCUCCCGUCUUCUACAAAGGCCUAAUCGAUGACUUCUUCUCUAUCUCUUCUCCACCUAAAGUGGGAACCUCUUCAAUUAAUUCGGUGUUAAUCAGUUUCCCAGUGGAACACGAUAUUCGGCUUCAAGAAUACAUCAAGUAGGAAGCAAGAGAUUUCAACCAAUAUAGAUCGAUUUUAUCAUCUUUAUUCUCCUUUAAUAAAUAACAAGAAAGGCUGAGGUACCACUUACCAAAACUAUAUUUUUAUAUUCUUUUCUUUGGGCCUGUUUUAUAGAGUAGAAUGAGAAAUGGACAACUAGGCAUUCGCACCAUCACAAGAUUAAUAGCUAUGUUGUCAUGGACAUUAAUUGUCAGAAAAAAUGACUUAUGAUUGAGCCAAAGCUUAACAUAACAACAUACAGAGCACAACAUGAUUACAAAAUACAAAACAGUUAAUUGAUUCCAUGAAAUAGAUGACUAUUGUUGUUUUACAUAGAGUACUGCUUAAUUGGUGCUUAAAGCGUGUUUCGCUUGGUCAAAAUUGGUAAAGACAUUGUAAUUUUAUAACUGAUUUCCCCUUUUUUCCUAAUGGACCUAUCACAUUCCUACGUUAUUCAAAAAGCUCUUCAUGUAUCUUGAUUUUUGAAAUUGUUGUAUUGUUGUCUUAUGAUUAUUUCAUUGAUAAUUGUCAAAAGAAGAUGAUGUCGCAGACAUAAGAAUUGGCGACGAGGAUGUUCCACAACCGCACAAUUUUCGUAAAAAACUUAUAGUUUGGUGGUAACCAUUAUUUGGUCUGUUGAAAAUAAAUAUAUGUUUUCAUCUGAUAUUCUUAAGAAGUUAAGGAGUUUUCUUGUGAAAAUCAGUUGAUGAGGCACAAUCUUUUGGUAACCAUUGUUUGGCCUCUUCAUUAUAAAAUUACUCUAUGAUUCAUGGUUUGCAUUGGUUUGGUUCCUUCUAAAAUAUGAAAGAACAUGACCUUAACUAUACCACAUAGACUUAUUUCUUGAGCUAGAUAUUUCUCAUAGAAAUGAAGAUCAUGAAUUCACACCCUAAGGACAAUCAGCAAGACUUUGGAGAACUAGAAGUAACUGCAAUCUGAUAUAGGAAACUCAAGAGUUUUAUCUUGAUAUGGAUCUUCUUCUAUGUGUAAAUCAUGCGGAAAAAAGCAGAGAUUCUUUUUUCCUACCUGAUACACGGACCGUAGAAGAGAAGAAUAAAAGGUGUGGACAAACCAAAGAGUUUUACCCUGAUGUAAAAAAGUUAUUUUGAAAGCCACGUGUUUUGAGAUAUCUUACAACAUAUCAUUUAGAGUAUCAUUCUUUAAAAGUAUAACAUUUUUUUAUCUUCUCUUCUGACCCACCAAACAAAAUGAUGAAACAACUCUAUUUGUUGGUUAUAAUGGUUUUUUGUAGCGGGGGAUUUUGAUCUUCACCAUGAUUUGGCAACGAUGAAACUGGUUGUGCUUAUAUAAACAUAUAUGUAGACAUUUUUACCCUUGCAGCUGGGAAUUGAGGGGAAAAGGAUGUGGAGGGCCUGGAGGCUACGGUUCUUUAAGUUCUUCCAAUUUCAACUAGCAAUGGUGUUAUUGCCAUUAGGUGCAAUUCCCAUUUUUUUUUGUUUAAAAUGCACUAAAUUAGUAAUGUACUAUAUAUAUAUAUAU